rnacentral:rRNA from 1 species
AUUGAACGCUGGCGGCAUGCCUUACAUAUGCAAGUCGAACGGCAGCAUGAUCUAGCUUGCUAGAUUGAUGGCGAGUGGCGAACGGGUGAGUAAUACAUCGGAACGUGCCCUGUAGUGGGGGAUAACUAGUCGAAAGAUUAGCUAAUACCGCAUACGACCUGAGGGUGAAAGUGGGGGACCGCAAGGCCUCAUGCUAUAGGAGCGGCCGAUGUCUGAUUAGCUAGUUGGUGAGGUAAAGGCUCACCAAGGCGACGAUCAGUAGCUGGUCUGAGAGGACGAUCAGCCACACUGGGACUGAGACACGGCCCAGACUCCUACGGGAGGCAGCAGUGGGGAAUUUUGGACAAUGGGCGAAAGCCUGAUCCAGCAAUGCCGCGUGUGUGAAGAAGGCCUUCGGGUUGUAAAGCACUUUUGUCCGGAAAGAAAUGGCUCUGGUUAAUACCUGGGGUCGAUGACGGUACCGGAAGAAUAAGGACCGGCUAACUACGUG